rnacentral:misc_RNA from 1 species
CGCAACUUGCGCUCUCUGGUAUUCCGGAGAGCAUGCCUGUUUGAGUAUCAUGAAAUCUCAACCAUUAGGGUUUCUUAAUGGCUUGGAUUUGGGCGCUGCCAGUAGCCUGGCUCGCCUUAAAAGAGUUAGCGUGUUUAAAUUGUCAAUCUGGCGUAAUAAGUUUCGCCAUGGUAGACUUGAGAAGUGCGCUUCUAAUCGUCUUUGGACAAUUCUUGAACUCUGGUCUCAAAUCAGGUAGGGCUACCCGCUGAACUUAA